GAAAUGCGAUAAGUAAUGUGAAUUGCAGAAUUCAGUGAAUCAUCGAAUCUUUGAACGCACCUUGCGCCCUUUGGUAUUCCGAAGGGCAUGCCUGUUUGAGUGUCAUUAAAUUAUCAACCUUGCUUGCUUUUACUAGCUCGCUCGGCUUGGAUGUGAGGGCUUUGCUGGCUUCCUUCAGUGGAUGGUCUGCUCCCUUUAAAUGCAUUAGUGGGAUCUCUUGUGGACCGUCACUUGGUGUGAUAAUUAUCUAUGCCAGUUGACUUUGAAGCAAAAUUAUGGGAACCCGCUUAUAACCGUCCGCAAGGACAACUCUUGACAUUUUGACCUCAAAUCAGGUAGGACUACCCGCUGAACUUAA
rnacentral:misc_RNA from 1 species